CCGGCUGUCCGUCCCUCCGGGCGGACAAUAAAGUUCGGCAAGUUUGACGAGGAGGAGAGAGCGCCGCGCGCGCCGCGGGCCGCCCGGGAGUGGACGCCGGCGGGGGCGCGGGGAUGGGGGUCACCGUGGACGUGCGCCAGCUGUACAAGUACCCCUUCGAGCAGGUGGUGGCCAGCUUCCUCCGGAAGUAUCCCAACCCCAUGGAUAAAAAUGUCAUCUCUGUAAAAACUGUGGAAGAAAAAAGGGAUGUGUCAACAGGCAUCAUCUAUAGAAAGAGGAUCGCAGUCUGUCAGAAUGUGGUUCCAGAAAUUUUAAGGAAGGUGAGCAUUUUAAAGGUACCUAGUAUCCAGUUAGAAGAGGAAUCGUGGCUUGAUCCCCAGGAAAGGAACAUGGCUAUACGGAGUCACUGCCUUACGUGGACACAAUAUGCAUCCAUGAAGGAAGAGUCUGUCUUCCGGGAAAGUGUGGAAAACCCGAAUUGGACAGAGUUCAUUCAAAGAGGCAGGAUUUCAAUCACCGGGGCCGGCUUUCUCAACUACAUUUUGGAAACUUUCGCCAGCACGUUCUUAAGACAGGGUGCCCAGAAGCCGCUCUCCUGGCAAGGCCCCAUUGCUAGUUCCAUCAUUACUCUUACUGUGUUGAUGGGGAGGCUGGAGCAGAGAGAGAUGGAAUUCAACAGCAUGUGAAAUAUUUGUCAGAGAAACAAUGUGGGGAAUUAGGAUAAUGGAGAUGCUGCUAAAGGAACGGUGUGGUGCCCCCUUAGCAGAAUAAAGAAUCCUCAGGGAGCCGCGUUGUGUCUUCUUGUGCUUGAGAAUCACUUGUCAGCCACAACACGUCAUAGACGCAGCUUUCGAAAUACAGACUAAAGGAUACAAUGUUGGCAGCUUCACGAAGAAGAGGCCUUCCUGCCGAGACAUGGAAUGAUCCACUCCCCUGGGAUCCUGCCUCAGAAGUGGCGCUCGUGGAGACGAGAUAUUCUAGCUGGAUUUUUAUGGCACAGUCUCUUAAUGAUUUUACAAAUAAAGCAAAAAAUCCCAUAGAAGGUGAUAUCCACCCUUCUUCUGGGUGCCUUGCCGAUUGCCUGAUGGUGGUGUCAGGGCACCCAAGGAUAGGCUGGCGGCCUGGGGGGUGAUGCUUGUGCCCUCAUGUUAUCAGCAUCAUUACUCGCAGGGUUCAUGAGAGGCUUCUGGGAUAAAUAAAGGAGUUGACCCUGACACCUGAAUUGUAGGUGGUUUGGAACAGACAGGAGUGUACCAGACCUGUGUUGAGGCUAAGACAUAUUUAUGGUAAUGUGUAAGAUUCUCAGAGAUCAGGAGCAUCUGAUUUCUACCCGUAAGUACUACACACCUGCCAUUAGUAUAUCGCUUUUAUAAUGUAACAUGUGAGCCGUGUGAUUUGGUCCUCUGAGAGAACAUGAGAUGAAGAAAGGCAGGUGAUCACCUGGGCUCCUACUAACUUGUUCUGUGAUGGGGAACAAGUCCUUCUUCACCACUCUGUUCCCUGGGCAAACGGGGAUCACGUGCACGGAUGUUUCUAUCUGUGGAUCGUGAUGAUUAAAUAAGGUAGUUUUGUGUGAAAAGACAGACUGGGGAGUCUGAGACACAGACCCUGUUUGAAUCCACACACCGACACUCACUAGAUCAAUGAUCAUGUACAUAAUUUUAAAUCUUGCUGAAGCUCAUUUAAAAAAAUUUAUAAGUGGGGUUAUGGAUUAACUUUGUGAGGUUGUUGGACCGAUUUGAGACCAUGUCUAUCCAGUGCCUAGCAUCUUACCUGUUGCAUAGUAGAAGUCCAGCAGAGGCUGAUUUUAUUAUGUGAAAUCAUUUUGAAAAUGUACUUUCCAAAUGUAAUGCAAGGUAUGUUACUGUUUGAAAAUGAGAUGACAGUAGUUUCCAUUUCUCAUGAUUGGGAGUCAAAAUAUAAAUGCAUACUACCUAGCAGGAAGCUCGAAGAGAGACAAUAAUUUGGAAUUCAUCUUCUUAAGAUAGAAGUUGGGCCAUUAUUGGAAAGUCUUGAGGAAAUUGUUCUUUUUUUUUAUAUUUGAAAAGUUUUCCUUUUAGUGCAUUGAUGAAUUUCAAAGCAAUUGUAUUUUUUUCAUACAAGCCUGCCACUGUGAACCUCUUCUUAUUGUAUUUGAGCAAUUUGUGCUGCCUGAGUUUUGUCUCUUAGGAUAAUUUUUCCUCAUUUUCUUUGUGUUUCAUUCUUUAGUUGUGAUGGGGGGAAAAUGAACGGUAGAAACCAGGUCACAUAUUGACCUCCCUUUCCAGUUUGUAAAUGGCAUUCUGUAGCCUUAUGGAAUAAUAGCCCAUUUCCAAAAAUAAGAGGUGAUACAAAUGAUCAUGGAGGGGAGAGAUAAGAAAUUUGUUUGAAUGUUGACAUGGAGAAACUUAACCCUUCCUACCCAACAACCUGCACCCUCCGAAGGCAGGAGUUCUCAGCCUUGGCUGUCAUCGGAACUGCCUGGGGAAUUUCAUGCACUCCUGGUGCCCAGAUUGUACCCCAGGCCAAUGAAUCAGAAUCUCUGGAGACAGAACGCAGGCAUCUGUAUUUUUAAAAUCUUUCUGGGUGAUUCCGUUGGGCAGCUAGGGAUGAGAAUACUACAGUGAAUUAUAGCAUUCUGACAUCUGAUUUUUUUUGUCAAAAUGCCUCAGGUGGAAAGAACUUUGUAAGAAAGUUUUCCUUAGAAAGAGUAAAGCACAGAGAGGCUGAAUUUUUGUCACAAUUCCUUGAAGCAGGGAUGUUCAAGGCAAGCGCUUUCAUGGGUCCGGCAGGCGAUCUGAUGAGCCAAGUGGGCUGGCGGCCCCAGGGGCGCCCCGGGAGCACACACCCGGCUGGAGGUGGGCAGGUGCUCCCUGGCUUCUGCAUGGUGCUGCUGUGUGGCUGGUUUUUCUAGUUCUUCCAAUUUCCAGUUUUCCAGAUACAGAGAGAAUUCUUUUCUCUUUUUUAAUUUUUUUUAUUUUGGUAUCAUUAAUCUACAACAGAGAGAAUUCUUAAAAAAAAAAAUCUCCCAAUUCUUACAUGUUGGAGUGAAUUCACAACACACAAUUAAAACACUGUGCGGCCAAAACAAAAAUGUUGCCAGUAGUUCGCAGCCUCUGGGAAGGACCAGCCUGCACAUCCCGGCCCACGUGGAACAGAUUUGCAUUUUCCUCUUCUGGAAGCGAGCUGCAUUCUGCCUCCUCCAGGGCUGCUUUUAGAUGUCCACCCCCCCCCCCCAACUCCCAGGCAGUCCUCUGGACUUGGGUCAGAUGCUCGUGCUCCCUCCUCAUUUUUACCCCCUUGUCAGACACCCAGGACUUCAAGCUUCACAUACGUGGUUUAGAAAGCUUACAUUCUUUUUAAGAUUAACUGAGGCUUGUUAGGGUUUAUUUUUAUGACGUACCAGAAUCCCUUUUCUGUGAUUAAAACAUUUAGAGGCCCACAUUUAACUUCACUAUUUAGAUUCCAGUAUAAGAGACGUCAAACCAGGAGCAUAUCCUUGACCAGGUAUAUUAGGAACAAGUGGGGGACAGGGUUGACCCCCCAGACCUGGCCAGUCUCUCUCCGACUCAUCUGCUGAGGCUGUACUUCAAGGUGAUGAUUUACUGUAGUGAUUCCCGGACCCAGCUUGUGCCAGAAAUCCUUGGGUGGGUGUGCCAAAUGGCAGGUUCCUGGAGCUGCCCCCAGAGAUUCUGGUUUGUGAAAUUUUAGUUGGGACUCAGGGAAUAGUACUUUAAAAAACAAGUCCACCAGGAGAUUAGGGUGUGCUGUUCCACAGACCAUACUUUUAGAAACACUGUUUUAGGGCGGGUGUUUUUGGCCUCUGAGUCUCCUACCAUAUAAGAUUUUUGUGUUUUUGCAAAAUCAGUACAGUUAAUCACUCAGGACACAAAAUAAAGUUCUCAAGCAGAGAGAAGCUGACUUAAGCUAUCCCUGCUCGAUUGUGGUGCUUUUAUUACUGCGAGGGGUUUUUAUGUUUGCGAUCACAGGUGGAUAAAAAAGGUGCUAUAUUCUUUUUAUAUAAAUUGCUUUGUGUAUUUUAUAAGCAGUCUGUGUAUAAUAAUGUCCCAUUUAUCAGACACUGUGAGAUGCAUGGUAUAGAUAAACUCAAGGUUACUCUUUUUUGUUUCAUUUCAACCAUUUGCAUGCAACUCUUAAUUCGGUAAACCUGUCCCUGCUUUUGCAAGCAGGAUCUACUGAAGAUAAUGAAAUCUUUUCAGGGUUGUCAUGUAUGUUUUUAAUUCUUUCAGGUCUUACUAGGUUUGUUAAAGCCGCUAUACUGAAUGGCUCCAUUCAUUGAGUUCCUAGCAGUUUUGAUAGUUUUUCUUGUCUCCUCACUGUUGUCUGUUCGUUUCUCUCUGAUAUUACUCUGCCUGCCUCUAGGAACUUCCCUCUCAUGGGCUGCAAGGGGUGGGAAAUUUUGAAUGUUGACAUUGGGAUAAACGUACAUGUAAUUGCAUAGUCUACGUCAAAUCACAGUGAGCAGGAUCUGAGGGAGGGUUUGAGAGGCUUCUUUAGCUCUAAAAUGAAUGAAUGUUGCUCUGUUAACUUGGUGACUUUAUUUUUGUGGUUCUACUUCCUCUAAUUUUACUCCCUGAUCCUCAGCCACAAUUGUUACUAGGUCUGGGACUUCAGGAUAAAUGAGAUGUUGCUACAAAUGAUUUCUUUUCAACUAUAAGCCAUUGUCCUCCCCAGUCGUGUUGGUGUUUUUACAGUCCUAAAAUGUGAAACAUAAAUAGAUUCAAAUUCAAGUGGACAUUUUUCAGGCCAAGUGUGCAGGAUAAAGUGUUUUGAUUCAGUGUUCCUGUGAUUUAGAGCCAUAAAUUAGUUGUAUACUGAUGAAAUUCAAUCCUGCAGUCAUUCUGAAAUAAAGGUGUUACAACAAUA